AGUCAAGGCAAGUCAGUUUUUAAAUAAUAGCACACCUGCCCUGUGUUGAAUACUAUCCAUCACUUCUAUUAAGCCGCGACAACACAAGGUAGAAUCGCCAUGAAGUCGCUCCUACACGCUGUUGCUGUUAUUCUGACAGUCUUGCUCUUUCUUAUGAAGCCUCCUUGCGGUCUAGCUGCUGUGUGUUAUAAAAGAAUAAAUCCGGGGUUGAAAUACUAUCCAGGAAAUAUAGCAAAAGAAGCUCCACACCCUAUGGACGAUGUUUGCACUGCUAAAGUCUAUAACGUGCCUCCCAAGUACAAGAGGGAUCCGGAAAUCGACGUCGACAACGAGCAAAUAGGGCACCAGCCACUAGUUUAGUUUUUAAUUUAAUAUCACGUUGUGUUUGAAUGAAAUGAAAAUAUGUUGAAUUGAAUAAAAAUAGUAAA